AGUGAACGCUGGCGGUAGGCCUAACACAUGCAAGUCGAACGGCAGCACAGUAAGAGCUUGCUCUUACGGGUGGCGAGUGGCGGACGGGUGAGGAAUACAUCGGAAUCUACUUUUUCGUGGGGGAUAACGUAGGGAAACUUACGCUAAUACCGCAUACGACCUACGGGUGAAAGCAGGGGAUCUUCGGACCUUGCGCGAUUGAAUGAGCCGAUGUCGGAUUAGCUAGUUGGCGGGGUAAAGGCCCACCAAGGCGACGAUCCGUAGCUGGUCUGAGAGGAUGAUCAGCCACACUGGAACUGAGACACGGUCCAGACUCCUACGGGAGGCAGCAGUGGGGAAUAUUGGACAAUGGGCGCAAGCCUGAUCCAGCCAUACCGCGUGGGUGAAGAAGGCCUUCGGGUUGUAAAGCCCUUUUGUUGGGAAAGAAAAGCAGCAGGUUAAUACCCCGCUGUUCUGACGGUACCCAAAGAAUAAGCACCGGCCAACUUCGCG
rnacentral:rRNA from 1 species